rnacentral:lncRNA from 1 species
UUUGGCAUUGUGUUUAUUUUAUUUCUGGAGAUUACUAUUUUUUUAUUUUUUAUUAUUUUUAUUUGUAUUUUCUUUUACUAUUACAUUUGGUGUUAUUAUUAUUUUGUUUAUUUUUUUUAGUCUUAGGAUUAUUGUUUUUUAUUUUCGCUUUCAUUUGGUAACUUGUCUUAUUAUGCUGUUUUUAUUUUUGUUCAUUUCUAUUUUUCAAUCAUUCUUAUUAUGAUUAUUAGUUAGUUUUAUUUUUGGUUAUGCUUAUAAGUCAUUUUGAUAUUUGUGAAAUUAUUUUAGGAUUUGAUAAUUCCUUUUUC